rnacentral:tRNA from 1 species
GGGGGUAUAGCUCAGUUGGUAGAGCGCUUGCAUGGCAUGCAAGAGGUCUUCGGUUCGAAUCCGUAUACCUCCACCA